UUGGGGGUCAGAGCAGAGAGAGGGGGGGAGGUUCUGGGGUAUUGGGGUCAGAGAAGAGAGGGAGGGAGGUUCUGGGGUAUUGGGGUCAGAGAAGAGAGGGAGGGAGGUUCUGGGGUAUUGGGGUCAGAGAAGAGAGGGAGGGAGGUUCUGGGGUAUUGGGGUCAGAGAAGAGAGGGAGGGAGGUUCUGGGGUAUUGGGGUCAGAGAAGAGAGGGAGGGAGGUUCUGGGGUAUUGGGGUCAGAGAAGAGAGGGAGGGAGGUUCUGGGGUAUUGGGGUCAGAGAAGAGAGGGAGGGAGGUUCUGGGGUAUUGGGGUCAGAGAAGAGAGGGAGGGAGGUUCUGGGGUAUUGGGGUCAGAGAAGAGAGGGAGGGAGGUUCUGGGGUAUUGGGGUCAGAGAAGAGAGGGAGGGAGGUUCUGGGGUAUUGGGGUCAGAGAAGAGAGGGAGGGAGGUUCUGGGGUAUUGGGGUCAGAGAAGAGAGGGAGGGAGGUUCUGGGGUAUUGGGGUCAGAGAAGAGAGGGAGGGAGGUUCUGGGGUAUUGGGGUCAGAGAAGAGAGGGAGGGAGGUUCUGGGGUAUUGGGGUCAGAGAAGAGAGGGAGGGAGGUUCUGGGGUAUUGGGGUCAGAGAAGAGAGGGAGGUUCUGGGGUUGGGGGUCAGAGAAGAGAGAGGGAGGGAGGUUCUGGGGGGUGGGGUCAGAGAAGAGAGGGAGGGAGGUUCUGGGGUAUGGGGGUCAGAGAAGAGAGAGGGAGGGAGGUUCUGGGGUAUGGGGGUCAGAGAAGAGAGGGAGGGAGGUUCUGGGGUAUGGGGGUCAGAGAAGAGAGGGAGGGAGGUUCUGGGGUAUGGGGGUCAGAGAAGAGAGGGAGGUUCUGGGGUUGGGGGUCAGAGAAGAGAGGGUGGUUCUGGGGUAUUGGGGUUGGGGGUCAGAGAAGAGAGGCAGGGUGGUUCUGGGGUAUUGGGGUUGGGGGUCAGAGAAAAGAGGGUGGUUCUGGGGUAUUGGGGUUGGGGGUCAGAGAAGAGAGAGGGUGGUUCUGGGGUAUGGGGGUUGGGGUCAGAGAAGAGAGAAGGAGGUUCUAGGGUAAUGGGGUGGGGGUCAGAGAAGAGAGAAGGAGGUUCUGGGGUAUUGGGGUGGGGGUCAGCAGGUGAAAGAUUAAAUGGUAUCAGGGCCUGUAUUCAUAAAGCAUCUCAGAGUAGGAGUGCGGAUCUAAGAUCAGAUCCCCUCUAUCAAACUCAUUAUGAUCAGAAUGGCAAAAACUGAUCCUAGCACUCCUACUCUGAAAUGCUUGAUACAUAUGUCCCCAGGAGGAGAAGGGUCAGAGAGACAUUUGGGGA